GACGAACGCUGGCGGCGUGCUUAACACAUGCAAGUCGAACGGAAAGGCCCUGCUUUUGUGGGGUGCUCGAGUGGCGAACGGGUGAGUAACACGUGAGUAACCUGCCCUUGACUUUGGGAUAACUUCAGGAAACUGGGGCUAAUACCGGAUAGGAGCUCCUGCUGCAUGGUGGGGGUUGGAAAGUUUCGGCGGUUGGGGAUGGACUCGCGGCUUAUCGGCUUGUUGGUGGGGUAGUGGCUUACCAAGGCUUUGACGGAUAGCCGGCCUGAGAGGGUGACCGGCAACAAUGGGACUAGGAUACGGCCCAGACUCCAACGGGAGGCAGCAGUGGGGAAUCAUGCACAAUGCGAGCAAGCCUGAGGAAACAGCCCCGCGUGCGGGAUGACGUCUUACGAGUUGUAAACCGUUUUCGCCUGGGAAAAGGCGGGAUUGACAGUAAUGGAUAAAAAAGCACCGGCUAACUACGUG
rnacentral:rRNA from 1 species